rnacentral:misc_RNA from 1 species
CAACCUGCAAGUCCUUGCGGACUUUGUUAGGCUUGGAUAUUGGAGGGUCACAUUGUCGGCUUGCAUGAGUCGGCUCCUCUUAAAUGCAUUAGCUUUGAUCCUCUGUGGAUCGGCUCUCGGUGUGAUAAGUUUGUCUAUGCCGUGACCGUGAAGCGCUUCUGGGAAAAGCUUAUAA